GCUUGUCUCAAAGAUUAAGCCAUGCAUGUCUAAGUAUAAGCCUUUAUAUGGUGAGACUGCGAAUGGCUCAUUAAAUCAGAAACUGUUUAUUUGAUAGUGCCUACUACAUGGAUACCUGUAGUAAUUCUAGAGCUAAUACAUGCGUCAAUGCCCGACUUUGGAAGGGCUGUGUUUAUUAGAUCCAAAACCAAUGCGGGGCAACCCGGUUACUGGUGAUUCAUAAUAACCUAUCGGACCGAAUGGCCUUGCGCCGUCGGUGCAUCAUUCAAAUUUCUGCCCUAUCAAUUUGUUGGUAGUAUAUAGGACUACCAAGAUGAUUACGGGUAACGGAGAAUUAGGGUUUGAUUCCGGAGAGGGAGCCUGAGAAACGGCUACCACAUCUAAGGAAGGCAGCAGG
rnacentral:rRNA from 1 species